GCGUUGUGUGGAUUGUCGUUAGAAGCGAUAACUGGCAUUUCAUUGACGGGAGUGUUAUAUAAACGUGAUGAGACAGUGUAGCGUAAUAUUUCAUUGAUGGAUGAGUUCGACUGUUUGUAAACGUAAUAGAGUGGAACUUUUAACAAUGGCAAUUGGAUUAUUUCGUGCGCCAUAGCGAGAGGUUACACUUUCGAUUCUCAUGGGGUAUGAAGUUUUGAGAAAAGCGGCCAGACUCAACUGGGAAUAGAUGGUUGCCGGUGCGAAAAUGCAGCAUACUUAAUCGUAGUGAUUGAGGUGAUAGGUGUAUUCAAGGCUUCGACAUUGUAUGUAUCAGGUGUACCAUGUUCAUCCGGGUCUGAUGGCAAUAUAUCUGGCUGUAUUGUUGCGUACACAAGGUGGCACGUUUUCAGCAGAGUCCGUGUCGCUGUAUGAAGAAAGCGGAAGUGUUUGAUGAACAUGUUCACAACGGGUUUUAGACGAGGAGCAUGGCAAAAAUACACAAUUGACACAAAAUGCCACGUUCCCGGUGUGACCCUAGACAACAGUCGCAGUGGGGUUAUCGAUUACCGUAUAUGUGUAUUUGAAUUGCUAAUAUGGUUUGUAAACAAGGCAGGGGAUAAUU